CCUGUCGAGGUGGAUCCAGUUGACAAUGGGUGUCAACAGGUAGAUAACGUUAGUCACUGGACCAGCCACUCGUUCAUAGAACAUCAGCUUGCAAAACCGUAUUUCUUUUUAUUUUUGUGUCAACAACAACUGUAAAGUUUAGUCAUGGUGUGGUGCUCACUACCUGGAUGUCCAAACUACAAGGCAGCACAGGCUGCUGGGGUAACAUUUCAUUGAUUACCUUACUAAGAAGUCGAGCAGAGUCAGAUCCCAUAAACGUCUGCAGCGGCAUCAACACCAAGCCCAGCACCAGGAACUAAUACGAAUCCUGCUGCUGCUAAUGAUGAUGAACUUGACACCAGCUUGAGUAGUACAGAUCCUGUAGACCCAUUGGAUGAAAGCUUUCAGCCAGGAAUAAGCUCAACAUCAUCUGACUCGGAAGAGGAAAAGACUGCACGCGGCUGGCAUGAUCCAAAGUGUAUAGUCUACGAGUCCAAGGUCAUGGAGCUCAUGAAGUUCUGCCAGACCAUCUGCCAUUGCCCAACACAAGAUGAGGUUCACCAGCUAAAGAACAUUCAGGACGCUGCCUGGAACAUUCAGCCAACACAACAUCCAUAUUCAGUUAGACUGAUGUUGUAGUAUAAUAAAGAAUGUCUAGUAUACUCACAACUACUUUGUGGUAUAGAUAUUUCUUGUACAUAUGUAUAUCAUGGAGUUUGAUCAAUUGUUUUAUGUAAUAUUUUUUACAAGUGUACUGACAAGUGACUCAAUGAUUUCAACUGCAUCAAAAACCAAUAAAUUGUUGACUUCCA